AUCUACGGCCACGCCACCCUGAACAAGCCCGAUUCCGUGUGAUCUUGGAAGCUAAGCGGAGCGGGGCGGGGCCUGGUUAGUACGUGGAUGGGAGACCACCUAGGAAGACCAGGCGCUGUAAGCG
rnacentral:rRNA from 1 species